CAAGCACCUCGGUAGGUGAGGCGUCUGCACGGACACAGGCCACUGACCCCGAACGUCGAGAGACGCCCCGGGUCAGGACAGCUCUUCCCGGACCCAAGGGUUGAGCCCAAGUGGCUUCUGGAAUCCAGAUACGCCGUGUAGUGCCGAAGCUCCGACGAGAGGGGUGCGCA
rnacentral:sRNA from 1 species